GGCUGGUCUGGAAAUAUGCUCUAGGAACCGGUUUUCUAGUCCUCGUCUAAACCUUGUCUGUUAAGACUCUUCGUUUAUGGAAUGCAGAUUUUUUAAAACCGUGGUUUCGACCGCGGCGAGGUUUAGAACUCGUUUAAACAAUCGGCCUUUGUGUCCCAAACGGAGAUGUAAUGGUUCCAAUGCAGUUUUCAAUUCUAUAUACCGUAGGACUCAUUUACAUGUAGCCUACGGUUGUUUCCUUGAGGUAGGAGGCUCUCUUGCCUCAUGGGACACCCCUGGGAUGUCCCAAUACUUUUGAUCAUAUUAUAUGUCCCGAUAGACUCGAAAGGAUUAACCUACACUUUUUGUAUCAACAAAAAUAUUUAAAACAAUGCCAGAAAAUAUUCU
rnacentral:lncRNA from 1 species